rnacentral:rRNA from 1 species
UGGGGAAUAUUGGACAAUGGGCGAAAGCCUGAUCCAGCCAUGCCGCGUGUGUGAAGAAGGUCUUCGGAUUGUAAAGCACUUUAAGUUGGGAGGAAGGGCAGUAAGUUAAUACCUUGCUGUUUUGA